rnacentral:sRNA from 1 species
UCAACCAUUGAAGAUCUUAGCCACGAUU